rnacentral:rRNA from 1 species
UGGGGAAUCUUGCGCAAUGCGCGAAAGCGUGACGCAGCAACGCCGCGUGCGGGAAGACGGCCUUCGGGUUGUAAACCGCUUUCAGUUGGGACGAAGCCUUUGCGGUUAAUAGCCGUGGAAGGUGACGGUACCUUCAGAAGAAGCCCCGGCUAACUACGUGCCAGCAGCCGCGGUAAUACGUAGGGGGCAAGCGUUGUCCGGAAUCAUUGGGCGUAAAGCGCGUGUAGGCGGCUCGGUAAGUCCGCUCUGAAAGCCCGGGGCUCAACCCCGGGAGGCGGGUGGAUACUGCUGAGCUCGAGUCCGGAAGAGGAGUGUGGAAUUCCUGGUGUAGCGGUGAAAUGCGCAGAUAUCAGGAGGAACACCAAUGGCGAAGGCAGCACUCUGGGACGGUACUGACGCUGAGACGCGAAAGCGUGGGGAGCAAACAGGAUUAGAUACCCUGGUAGUCCACGCCGUAAACGAUGGGCACUAGGUGUGGGGGGUGUCGGACUCCCUCCGUGCCGAAGCUAACG